CACUCAGGGCCCCUCCUCCAUGUAGCCCAGAGACUUCGGAGUUCUUCCUCACCUCCUGUUGUGGAGUCCCUGGGAUCUCAGCAGUAUGGAAGUUGCUGCUGAGGCAGUGAACACACCAUGCAAUGUGUGCGAAUGUACGUGCACCAUGCACCAGGACAAUGUCACUAUCUGCUGCUUUUCCCUUUUAUGGUUUUCAGAAGAAUCCUCAAGGGACCAAAUAAAACCAAGAUUUCUGUUUUAAAGUUGAAA